UACGUAGGGGGCAAGCGUUGUCCGGAAUCAUUGGGCGUAAAGCGCGUGUAGGCGGCUCGAUAAGUCUGCUGUGAAAGUCCAGGCUCAACCCUGGGAUGCCGGUGGAUACUGUCGAGCUCGAGUCCGGAAGAGGCGAGUGGAAUUCCUGGUGUAGCGGUGAAAUGCGCAGAUAUCAGGAGGAACACCGAUGGCGAAGGCAGCUCGCUGGGACGGUACUGACGCUGAGACGCGAAAGCGUGGGGAGCAAACAGG
rnacentral:rRNA from 1 species